GCUGGGCAUGAUGGUGCAUGCCUGUAGUCCCAGCUACUCAGGAGGCUGAAGUGGGAGGUUUGCUUGAGCCCAGGAGGUCGAGGCUGCAGUGAGCCAUGAUCAUGCCACUGCACUCUAGCCUGGGUGACAGAGUGAGACCCUGUCUCAA
rnacentral:SRP_RNA from 1 species